GACGAACGCUGGCGGCGUGCUUAACACAUGCAAGUCGAGCGGUAAGGCCCUUUCGGGGGUACACGAGCGGCGAACGGGUGAGUAACACGUGGGUGACCUGCCCUCAGCUCUGGGAUAAGCCUGGGAAACCGGGUCUAAUACCGGAUAUGACUCCAUGACGCAUGUUGUGGGGUGGAAAGCCUUGUGCGGCUGAGGAUGGGCCCGCGGCCUAUCAGCUUGUUGGUGGGGUGAUGGCCUACCAAGGCGACGACGGGUAGCCGGCCUGAGAGGGCGACCGGCCACACUGGGACUGAGAUACGGCCCAGACUCCUACGGGAGGCAGCAGUGGGGAAUCUUGCGCAAUGGGCGAAAGCCUGACGCAGCGACG
rnacentral:rRNA from 1 species